rnacentral:piRNA from 1 species
UGGAGCUAGAAAUCAUCCAGAUGAGGUUGCCU